CUAGGAUUAUAGGAUUUCACCCCUACCCCAGGAAUACCGUCAACCUCUCCCGCCCUCAAGUCUAGCAGUAUCUUCCGCGGUCUGACGAUUAAGCCGUCAGAUUUAACGAAAGACUUACUUGACCGGCUACGAACGCUUUAGGCUAAAUAAUCGUCCCUAUCACUCAGGGGGCUGGUAUUACCGC
rnacentral:rRNA from 1 species